CCUACGGGUGGCAGCAGUGAGGAAUAUUGGUCAAUGGACGAGAGUCUGAACCAGCCAAGUAGCGUGAAUGAUGACUGCCCUAUGGGUUGUAAACUUCUUUUAUAUGGGAAUAAAAUGUUCCACGUGUGGGAUUUUGUAUGUACCAUAUGAAUAAGGAUCGGCUAACUCCGUGCCAGCAGCCGCGGUAAUACGGAGGAUCCGAGCGUUAUCCGGUUUUAUUGGGUUUAAAGGGAGCGUAGGUGGAUUGUUAAGUCAGUUGUGAAAGUUUGCGGCUCAACCGUAAAAUUGCAGUUGAAACUGGCAGUCUUGAGUACAGUAGAGGUGGGCGGAAUUCGUGGUGUAGCGGUGAAAUGCUUAGAUAUCACGAAGAACUCCGAUUGCGAAGGCAGUUCACUGGACUGCAACUGACACUGAGGCUCGAAAGUGUGGGUAUCAAACAGGAUUAGAUACCCCAGUAGUC
rnacentral:rRNA from 1 species